UGUGAAAUAAGUCAGGCACAGCUAAACAAGU
rnacentral:piRNA from 2 species